GCCAGGCAUUGUGAUGUGUACCUGUAGUCCCAGCUACUUAGGAGGCUGAGGCUGGAGGAUGGCUUGAGCCUGGGAGGUCAAGGCUGCAGUGAGCUGUGAUUGUGCCGCUGCACUCCAGCCUGGGCAACAGAGCAAGACCCUGCCUCAA
rfam:Pan troglodytes isolate Yerkes chimp pedigree #C0471 (Clint) chromosome 13, whole genome shotgun sequence.